rnacentral:rRNA from 1 species
UACAGAGGGGGCAAGCGUUGUUCGGAAUUACUGGGCGUAAAGGGCGCGUAGGCGGCCUGCUAAGUCGAACGUGAAAUCCCUGGGCUCAACCCAGGAACUGCGUCCGAUACUGGUUGGCUUGAAUCCGGGAGAGGGAUGCGGAAUUCCAGGUGUAGCGGUGAAAUGCGUAGAUAUCUGGAGGAACACCGGUGGCGAAGGCGACAUCCUGGACCGGUAUUGACGCUGAGGCGCGAAAGCGUGGGGAGCAAACAGG